rnacentral:rRNA from 1 species
AGCGAACGCUGGCGGCAGGCCUAACACAUGCAAGUCGAGCGCCCGUAGCAAUACGGGAGCGGCAGACGGGUGAGUAACACGUGGGAACGUGCCCUUUGGUUCGGAAUAACUCAGGGAAACUUGAGCUAAUACCGGAUAAGUCCGUAAGGAGAAAGAUUUAUCGCCGAAGGAGCGGCCCGCGUCCGAUUAGCUAGUUGGUGAGGCAAUGGCUCACCAAGGCUACGAUCGGUAGCUGGUCUGAGAGGAUGACCAGCCACACUGGGACUGGGACACGGCCCAGACUCCUACGGGGGGCAGCAGUGGGGAAUAUUGGACAAUGGGGGCAACCCUGAUCCAGCCAUGCCGCGUGGGUGAUGAAGGCCCUAGGGUUGUAAAGCCCUUUCGGCGGGGAAGAUAAUGACGGUACCCGCAGAAGAAGCCCCGACUAACUUCGUGCCAGCAGCCGCAGUAAGAC